UGAGUAGCCCUGGCUAGCGGUUCAACCCGGGCAGGUUAAUCGAAUCCCCUCAGUCUGAAAUCGCAAAAAGUCGUCCAUCACCAUAUGGUAACCGCCCUCUGGCACCAUAAUCCAAACUUUUUCAACUAUUCGUUCCGUUUCCGUUAAAUUCAACGCUGCACCCUUUUCUGUCUACACUACAGCACGUGAUUCAAUGAAGCAACGUUGGCAAACCAGGGGUGUAUUCCUUAAGCUGAUUCUGUUGCAAAACUUUUCUUAGACGGAAGCAAACGGAACGAAAUGGAAAGGGAUCUACCUGAAUUUGUUUAAUAUAAAUUCUCAUUUUGCAUAUGUUUGCACUAAUGAUUACUCCCCAGAGUUGCGGUCAGGACGCUCGUUCUCCUUUGCUGAACGGAAGAUUUCUUCCCGAUACUCCGCUAUAGUCUUCUCUACGGCCCCGAAUAUCUCCACAGCAGCCGCCGACAAACGCUCGGUAACGAACACAUUCAGCAAAUGUAGUUUGGACAUAUUGGCGAGGACAAUGAAAGUCUAGCUGUUUGUUUUAUCAAAGAAAUGUUGAAACGUCUGUCUGCUUCAGCCUAGCGGGUUUACACUACCUAGUAGAUACCUUUUGUAAACAACAAUGUCACGUGCUGUGUUUUCUAUUCAUCAACCGCGAACGGUGUAAGACUGCAUUACAUUAGCGCCCCCUGCUGUCUUGGAGCUGGAUUUGCCAUCCAGGCAAGCAACCAGAGCCAUGUCGUCCGCAUACAGGUAUUUGAUGACGGGGGAGACUCGUCGAGGCCUUGGUGACAGACGGAGAAAACAUCACGAGGCGAUGGCUCCAUCUGCUGGACGUGCCAGGUCUCGACGGGAUCUCCGGCCAGGACUAAUUGGGGCUGUUUGGGGAUUGGAUACAUACAGCAAGACCCGGAGCCCAGAAGACUGUAUCCUAGAGAGGGUCUCUUGGGGGAUACAGUAAGACCCGGAGCCCAGAAGACUGUAUCCUAGAGAGGGUCUCUUGGGGGAGACCUAUUCUUUUCUUUUGGACUAUUAUUUUAAUAAACACCUUUGAAACUGAGCUAAUCC